AGAGAGAUACCCAAAAAGAGAAAACUAAUAUGCAAAAACGAAACGGUAUAUACAAGGGAAAGUAGUGGGUUACCUUCUAAUGAGAAUGAGUAGAGGGAGAUGUUCCCUCCUCGUCGUCCUCAGGUGGUAACGCUUCAAGGUGCUCAUCAGCAAGAGUGCCCAUCUCUUCAAUGUAGAAGGCUUGCUCGAACACAGUUGGUUUCUUCAUUUUCUCCUUGAUGUCAAAGUGGAGA
rnacentral:lncRNA from 1 species